GACGAACGCUGGCGGCGUGCUUAACACAUGCAAGUCGAACGGAAAGGCCCUGCUUUUGUGGGGUGCUCGAGUGGCGAACGGGUGAGUAACACGUGAGUAACCUGCCCUUGACUUUGGGAUAACUUCAGGAAACUGGGGCUAAUACCGGAUAGGAGCUCCUGCUGCAUGGUGGGGGUUGGAAAGUUUCGGCGGUUGGGGAUGGACUCGCGGCUUAUCAGCUUGUUGGUGGGGUAGUGGCUUACCAAGGCUUUGACGGGUAGCCGGCCUGAGAGGGUGACCGGCCACAUUGGGACUGAGAUACGGCCCAGACUCCUACGGGAGGCAGCAGUGGGGAAUAUUGCACAAUGGGCGGAAGCCUGAUGCAGCAACGCCGCGUGCGGGAUGACGGCCUUCGGGUUGUAAACCGCUUUCGCCUGUGACGAAGCGUGAGUGACGGUAAUGGGUAAAGAAGCACCGGCUAACUACGUGCCAGCAGCCGCGGUGAUACGUAGGGUGCGAGCGUUGUCCGGAUUUAUUGGGCGUAAAGGGCUCGUAGGUGGUUGAUCGCGUCGGAAGUGUAAUCUUGGGGCUUAACCCUGAGCGUGCUUUCGAUACGGGUUGACUUGAGGAAGGUAGGGGAGAAUGGAAUUCCUGGUGGAGCGGUGGAAUGCGCAGAUAUCAGGAGGGACACCAGUGGCGAAGGCGGUUCUCUGGGCCUUUCCUGACGCUGAGGAGCGAAAGCGUGGGGAGCGAACAGGCUUAGAUACCCUGGUAGUCCACGCUGUAAACGGUGGGUACUAGGUGUGGGGUCCAUUCCACGGGUUCCGUGCCGUAGCUAACGCUUUAAGUACCCCGCCUGGGGAGUACGGCCGCAAGGCUAAAACUCAAAGGAAUUGACGGGGCCCCGCACAAGCGGCGGAGCAUGCGGAUUAAUUCGAUGCAACGCGUAGAACCUUACCUGGGUUUGACAUGGAUCGGGAGCGCUCAGAGAUGGGUGUGCCUCUUUUGGGGUCGGUUCACAGGUGGUGCAUGGCUGUCGUCAGCUCGUGUCGUGAGAUGUUGGGUUAAGUCCCGCAACGAGCGCAACCCUUGUUCACUGUUGCCAGCACGUUAUGGUGGGGACUCAGUGGAGACCGCCGGGGUCAACUCGGAGGAAGGUGGGGAUGACGUCAAGUCAUCACGCCCCUUAUGUCCAGGGCUUCACGCAUGCUACAAUGGCUGGUACAGAGAGUGGCGAGCCUGUGAGGGUGAGCGAAUCUCGGAAAGCCGGUCUCAGUUCGGAUUGGGGUCUGCAACUCGACCUCAUGAAGUCGGAGUCGCUAGUAAUCGCAGAUCAGCAACGCUGCGGUGAAUACGUUCCCGGGGCU
rnacentral:rRNA from 1 species